UUCACUGCACUGCUAAGAUAUGGAUCCGAAACCUCUUGAAGGUCAACACAGACUCUUUAUACCCUACUCAAUACGUUCCCGGCGUACAUAACGAUAACACGUCUUUCCAAAUAUCUGAAUGGAAUCUGGGAAAGUGGAUGGC
rnacentral:ribozyme from 1 species